GAGUUUGAUCAUGGCUCAGAUUGAACGCUGGCGGCAUGCCUUACACAUGCAAGUCGAACGGUAACAGGUCUUCGGACGCUGACGAGUGGCGAACGGGUGAGUAAUACAUCGGAACGUGCCCAGUCGUGGGGGAUAACUACUCGAAAGAGUAGCUAAUACCGCAUACGAUCUGAGGAUGAAAGCGGGGGACCUUCGGGCCUCGCGCGAUUGGAGCGGCCGAUGGCAGAUUAGGUAGUUGGUGGGAUAAAAGCUUACCAAGCCGACGAUCUGUAGCUGGUCUGAGAGGACGACCAGCCACACUGGGACUGAGACACGGCCCAGACUCCUACGGGAGGCAGCAGUGGGGAAUUUUGGACAAUGGGCGAAAGCCUGAUCCAGCAAUGCCGCGUGCAGGAUGAAGGCCUUCGGUUGUAACGUAGCUUUGUUACGGUAACGAAAAG
rnacentral:rRNA from 1 species